rnacentral:rRNA from 1 species
GACGGAGGAUGCAAGCGUUAUCCGGAAUGAUUGGGCGUAAAGCGUCCGCAGGUGGCAGUUCAAGUCUGCUGUCAAAGACCGGGGCUUAACUUCGGAAAGGCAGUGGAAACUGAACAGCUAGAGUAUGGUAGGGGCAGAGGGAAUUCCUGGUGUAGCGGUGAAAUGCGCAGAUAUCAGGAGGAACACCGGUGGCGAAGGCGGAUCUCUGGGCCUGUCCUGACGCUGAGGCGCGAAAGCUAGGGGAGCGAACAGG